CCACCAACCACGGUCUUAGGUGCGGCCCUCCAUCUGCUACUCCCACCUCCUCCCUUCGGCUCGAACUACGUUCUCCGAGUAAAGGCCGACCGUCGAGCCUCCUCCUCCCCCUCCAGCAGAGCAUGCCACCUCCGAAAAAAGGAAGCACCCACAUCGGAGGCACAUGUCGUCAAUGUUUUUGUACAUGAACCUCUACCAGAAGGAGCCCUCUGAUCUUUUGAUCUAUAUGGGUAGAUCCCUUAAUUGCAGAAUACGGAUCACCCACCCAUGAUUACAACAACAUUCGAAAAGCAGAUGUUGAUACCACAUAAGAAAAAGAAGAAGAAAU
rnacentral:lncRNA from 1 species